AUUAAACUAAGAAUUGAAUUGAAUUAUUUCCAAGCUCUGGCGUUUCUUACGUUUGUUUUUGUAAACACAAUUAAUACAAACGUGUAAACUAACAAAAUAUGGGUAAGGAUAAGAAAAAAGGUAUUAAAGGCAACGUUUUUAAAGUAGCUGGUGCUAAAAGUUUGAAAAAAACAAAAGCUAAGGCAGUUAACCUAGGCUUAAAAAACUUAAAACAAAAAGUUGUAGAUAUUGAUAAGGAGUUCUUAGAUAUCAAAAACAACCCAAAACCUAAACCAGAAACAGUCAAACCUGUCAGUAAGCCUGCUCAAAAGAAAAAGGACAAAAAUGUUACUAAAGAGGAAGUAGCAACAGCAGCUGAUCAAAUUGUGAAAAUGGAUAUAUAG